rnacentral:tRNA from 1 species
CGGGGCGUAGCGCAGCUUGGUAGCGCACCACUUUGGGGUAGUGGGGGUCGUGGGUUCGAAUCCCGCCGCUCCGACCA